rnacentral:rRNA from 1 species
UGAGCAAUCUGCCCUUCUCAUCGGAAUAAGCGUUGGAAACGACGUCUAAUGCCGAAUACGACCUCCUUUCGCAUGAUCGGAGGUGGAAAGCUCCGGCGGAGAAGGAUGAGCUCGCGGCCUAUCAGCUAGUUGGUGUGGGUAAUGGCCCACAAGGCGACGACGGGUAGCCGGCCUGAGGAGGGUGACCGGCCACACGUGGGACUGAGACACGGCCCAGACUCCGUACGGGAGCA